AAAAUACCGAUAAGGGUCCAAGACUCCACCGGUACCGUUUCGCUUACACUUUUUGAUCAAGACGCUUCAAAAAUUAUAAGAAAACAUGCAAAGGAUCUGGUUGAAAGACAAGAACAGGUUUCAUUCUUUAAACCAAUUUUUUUAAAAUGUUUUUCAUUUAAUAUUGUGUAACUUCCAUACAAAAAUUUUGACAUUUGUAUAACAGUCAUCUGAGUUUGAAGAGUACCCGGCUGAGUUUAAUGAUUUGAUUGGAAAAACGUUUGCCUUUCACAUCAAAAUCUCUUAAUAUAAUAUUAAUGAGAAGAAAGAGUAUUAUGGCAUUGACAAACUAACCAAUGAUUCUGACAUUCUUUCCAAACUUGAGAAGAAGAGAAAGAAUAUUGAUCAACAUGAUGAGACCGAUUCAAUUGGUGGUUCCAUGUCGGAAGUACAAUCAAACAACACUAUUGGUGUGAAGGAUAUGGUGUCUUGUACUGGGGAUAACACCACUCCAGUGUCAAAUGCGCACGAAGUUGUUGCAAAGCCAUCUUCUUUUGAGCUUAAACGUAAUCUUGAAGAGAUUUAUGAUCCUGAAGAUGUUUCAGGUUUUUCAUCUACUAAAGCACGUGCCGUUGACGAUAAUAAUGAUGCCAAUGCAGCUGGGAAGUUUAAGUUGUUGGUUCCAAAACGUGAAAAAUAAUUUCAAGCUUCGUAGUCCAUGACCAAUUUUUUGUUUUGUUUCGUACUUUGAAUAUUUUCUAUUUGUUGCAUUGUUGGUGACUUUUGUUUUUCUCCAUUUCUUUUUAGACGAUUUGUUGAUUGUGCGAUGUUUUUAAUUGGUCAAUGGUUUAUUUAAUGUGUUUAGUUAUGUUUUAA